AACGAACGUUGGCGGCAUGCCUAACACAUGCAAGUCGAACGAGACCUUCGGGUCUAGUGGCGCACGGGUGCGUAACGCGUGGGAACCUGCCCUUAGGUUCGGAAUAACUCCCCGAAAGGGGUGCUAAUACCGGAUAAUGUCUUCGGACCAAAGAUUUAUCGCCUUUGGAUGGGCCCGCGUUGGAUUAGCUAGUUGGUAGGGUAAAAGCCUACCAAGGCGACGAUCCAUAGCUGGUCUGAGAGGAUGAUCAGCCACACUGGGACUGAGACACGGCCCAGACUCCUACGGGAGGCAGCAGUGGGGAAUAUUGGACAAUGGGCGAAAGCCUGAUCCAGCAAUGCCGCGUGAGUGAUGAAGGCCUUAGGGUUGUAAAGCUCUUUUACCCGGGAUGAUAAUGACAGUACCGGUAGAAUAAGCUCCGGCUAACUCCGUG
rnacentral:rRNA from 1 species